GACAGAGGUGCCGAGCGUUAGGCGGAAUCACUGGGCUUAAAGCGUGUGUAGGCGGCUGGGUAGGUCCGUUGUGAAAACUCGAGGCUCAACCUCGAGACGCCGAUGGAAACCAUCCAGCUAGAGUCCGGAAGAGGAGAGUGGAAUUCCUGGUGUAGCGGUGAAAUGCGCAGAUAUCAGGAAGAACACCCGUGGCUAAGGCGGCUCUCUAGUACGGUACUGACGCUGAGACGCGAAAGCGUGGGGAGCGAACAGG
rnacentral:rRNA from 1 species